rnacentral:tRNA from 1 species
GCUAAAGUAGCUCAGUGGGGAGAGUGUUAGACUGAAGAUUUAAAGGGCCCUGGUUCUAUCCCAGGCCUUGGAA